CCUACGGGGGGCAGCAGUGGGGAAUUUUGGACAAUGGGCGCAAGCCUGAUCCAGCAAUGCCGCGUGAGUGAAGAAGGCCUUCGGGUUGUAAAGCUCUUUUGUCAGGGAAGAAACGGUUGUCUCUAAUACAGAUGGCUAAUGACGGUACCUGAAGAAUAAGCACCGGCUAACUACGUGCCAGCAGCCGCGGUAAUACGUAGGGUGCAAGCGUUAAUCGGAAUUACUGGGCGUAAAGCGUGCGCAGGCGGUUAUGCAAGACAGAUGUGAAAUCCCCGGGCUUAACCUGGGCACUGCAUUUGUGACUGCAUAGCUAGAGUGUGUCAGAGGGGGGUAGAAUUCCACGUGUAGCAGUGAAAUGCGUAGAGAUGUGGAGGAACACCGAUGGCGAAGGCAGCCCCCUGGGAUAACACUGACGCUCAUGCACGAAAGCGUGGGGAGCAAACAGGAUUAGAUACCCCAGUAGUC
rnacentral:rRNA from 1 species